CAGCCAAAGUUCGCCGCACAUACCAUCCCUGUCGUCCCAGUGGCUGUGUUCGGUGUUGUUCCGUAGCGGGCGCUGCUACAUGCCCGCGUAUGAUGCACGUUGCACUAUGGUACGGAACAACUGUGGAAGCCUGUUCAACUUCGCGCUCUAAAGCCAGGAUCGUGAAGGAGGAUACGGUUUCGCCCGCAACUGCGACUGCCGGUUUCGACGUCUGUAAUGAAAACUGUACCUUUCGCUGUUAUUGGAACCGCGAUGAUGCCACCCCAGCACUGAGCUGUCUGUCCGAUCUACGAAGUUAUCGAACGACUCGCUUCCCUGUUCCUCCCUCGAAUUGGUGUGGCGGUCGUUGGAACAACUACCAGUGUUAUCAUCUGUAAGUACAGCAUAAUUGAUAAUAUAAAACAUAAAGGUUAAUAUUAACCAACUGCUAUUUUCUUUUUCACACAUCCUGCAUCGAUUACUCGCGAGUAUGCUAUCUACUACAACUUACAUCUGCUGCUUCGCUCGCUGAAUGUGCACUGGACACGAGAUUCACUCCAUCCCAUGUAAGUGCGACGUCCAUCCGCUUUGGUGGUAGACCACUCUCGCUGCUCCUCCACGACAGUUUCCCGACGAGUUUCAGUAAAACUUUUACCAGCUCCAGCAUUUGGUACUACGACGUUCAACUGCGUGGACGUAGAUGGUGCGCCGGACAUAAAGCUGCCUUCGCUACUUUUAUCUGUAACAAUGUAUUCGCACAGUCGAGGGAAGCAGAUGCAAUCGCGGUCGCGCAGACAGAAACAGAUGCUGGUUAUUUUGAUGCUACACGGACACUACUUACAGCGCCGAUGAACCACGACCUACUUCAAUC